UAUAUAUAUAUAUAUAUAUACAUACAUAUAGAUGACUGUUUUUUUUUUUUUGUUGUGUGUCUUUUUACAAUUUGUUUAAGUUGUAACUAUACUUCUAAAUAUUUUCACUUUUUAUACAAUAUUUUUUUUUCCCCUUAUUUGAAUUUUUUAUUACAACAUUUUUUAUUUUAUGAUUUUUGUUCAUUUGGGGUUAUUUUUUAUUUUUGCUUUUGCUUUUAUUUUUAUUUGAUUAGAUUUUUUUAUUUUUUAUUAUUUUUUUUUAUUUUUUUUUAUUUUUUUUUAUUUUUUUUUAUUUUNNNNNNNNNNUUUUUUUAUUUUUUUUUAUUUUUUUUUAUUUUUUUUUAUUUUUUUUUUUUUUGUUUAAGUUAUGUUUUGGUUAUAUUUUCAAAUUAUCUACAACAAAAUGUUUAUUUAACGAAACUAAAAAUUUUUAUUUUAUACUAUGUCCGCACUUAUGUAAAAAAUUAAUUAUUUUUUUUAUAAUAAUUUUUUGCUUUUUAUUAUAUAUUUUUUAACAAAGAACUAUUAUACUCACAUUUUAAAAAAAAAAUAAAUCAAUAAUAAACAUAAUUGGAAGUAUAAAUGAAAUAAUAUAUAUAAUAUUUAAAAAAAAAAAAAUUGAUUUAACCUGGUAUGAACUCUUAUGUAUGUUGUAUAAAUUUGCACAUGAUAUUUACCCUCAUAAUGUUAAAAAAAAAAAAAAAAAAAAAAAAAAAAAAAGUAUAUACAUAUAUAUAUUCUCCGAAAAAAAACUAUAUAUAUAUAUAUUUACAUAUGAGCACUUUUUUUCUUCAAUUUUUUUUUGUCUUUCUUUUAAUUUUUUUCUUUUUUUUUAAUUUUUUCCGCUUUUACUUCGUUUUCAACUUUUUUGAAAGCGCCAAACAUGCACACAAGAAAAGACAGGAAAAAAACAGACAAACUGACAAACAAACAAAUAAAAAGCCAAACAAACAGAUAAAACGCCAAACAAGACCCACUUUUAACUAUUUUUUACCAUUUUUUUGUAAAUCGGAAGUAGUACAUAAACAAAAUCUUUUUAAAUACCGUUUUGGACAUUCAUCUAUUUUAUAUAAAAAUUCAAUUUAUAUAUUUGGUGGAAAACAACAAGUGCCCACAGAACGGGUAAAUUUUGUUAAGUUUGAUAUAGACACAUACGAGUUCGAAGCACUCCAUAACGAUAAAACCCCAAUUGGCCGAUAUUUUUUUACACUAAAUUUAAUACAUUCUAGCAAACACCGUGCAAAUUGUUUUGUUUUAUUUGGGGGGAAAGAAAAAUAGGUAUGUAACA
rnacentral:lncRNA from 1 species